rnacentral:lncRNA from 1 species
CCCCACCUCUCUUGGAAGCCCGUUCGACGCCCGGACAUCCUGACGGAGAUGCGGAGUUCCCCCAGCCCUGAAGGCAGCACCACCCGCAUACCCCCCGCACCUGCGGGUCCAGGGCGAAACUCCACCCUGCGGGGACAUCGCGCUCUUCCUGAGCCCUGUCCCAGGGAUGUGGCCAGUCCUGGCCCCCGCUCCCGCCCCCGGGCAGCCAACUCCCGUUCCAGCCCCAAACCGAGAUGCAGCCGGACGCUUCCCCAGCUCUGGCUUGGGCUGCUGCCAGCCCCAAGACUGGCUGCAACCUCCCCACGGGAGUCGCGGCUUCUCCCGGCACGACCGGGCCGGGGCGGGCUGGCCGGGCGCCAGGGAGGGAGGAAAAAUACCUGUCGUCCCGCAAUGCAAAUCCUUAUGCAAAUAGAUCUGCGGGUGCACGGGGAGUUGCUGGCAGCCUGACCUGCCAGCCGAGAGUCGCUGGCCCCGAGUUUAGAGGUGCCGGCCAGCAGCGGCACGCCCCGAAAGGACAUGGGAUCUUGAAGACUCCCUGUUAGUACCUCGGAACUUGCUGCUGCCUCAGAAAAGUUCGAGAAAGAGUCUGCGGUUAAUCUCCGAGGCCUUCAUACAUCCCUGGCGAGCAGCGCCCCAGCGCUAAGUGCAAUUAACAUAACAGACACUAAAAUAGGAGAGCGGCGCUGAAUUUAAUUUGCAGGCUUAGGAAAAAAAAAAAAAAAACAAAAAAAAACCACACACCAAAAACUUAGCACUUAGAGCGGUCUGGUGAUGAACGCAAGAAGUGAUGGGGAAGGCGGCCGAGUAGCCCUCCUGCCUCGGAGCGGGGCCGCGGCCAGUUCCGUGGACCCUCUCCGGGAGCCGGGACCACCUUGGUGCGCGCAGGUUUCUAGGCAGGUAAACUCCUCCGACGGAGCUGCCUCUCGCUACAUCGCCCCAGCGCGGCUCGCCCCCUCGGCCAGCGCUCCCGUGGCGACCAGGUCAACCGCAGCGCGACCAGGUCGCCGGCGCGGGCAGGCACCUCCCAGAGCCUCCCCGCUGCCCGCCCCGAC